GGUCUCGCUAUCUUGGUUCUCAGUUUUUGAGCACCUCAAUGGCAGAAGACUUGCUGGAGCACUUUAAGGAGGGCACCAAGGAACUUAAUUUAAGGAACAUGCUUUCUGUGUCAAUGGAUGUAUCCACAGUAAAUUGGAAAGUCAUGGAUCUCCUACAACUGGAACAUGCAAUAAAUUUCUGAUCCUGAUCUUUCCUACAA